UGGCCUAUCUUGUUGGUCUGUAGGACCGGCGUAAUGAUUAAGAGGGACAGUCGGGGGCAUUCGUAUUUCAUUGUCAGAGGUGAAAUUCUUGGAUUUAUGAAAGACGAACUACUGCGAAAGCAUUUGCCAAGGAUGUUUUCAUUAAUCAAGAACGAAAGUUGGGGGCUCGAAGACGAUUAGAUACCGUCGUAGUCUCAACCAUAAACGAUGCCGACUAGGGAUUGGCAGGUGUUUAUUCAAUGACCCUGCCAGCACCUUAUGA
rnacentral:rRNA from 1 species